GACUCUCGGCAAAGGAUAUCUCGGCUUUUACAUCGAUGAAGAACAUAAUGAAAUGUGAUACUUGGUGUGAAUUACAGAAUCUCGUGAACCAUCAAGUUUUUGAACUCAAGUUGCGCCUGAAGUCGUCAGGCCGAGGGCACGCCUGCCUGGGUGUCA